GCAUUAUGUCUAGUAUCAGAUAACUAUAUUUAUGUGGGUUUGUCUCUGUGUCUUCUAUUCUAGACCUCACUUCUUAAAAAUACCACCACCUCCCAAUAGUGCCACCAUGGGGACUAAUUCUUUAACACAUGAACCUUUGGGGAACAUUCUAGAUCCAAACAAUAACAACCUUCACUAUCAUCCCAGAAAUUCCCUUUGCCUCUCUUCUGGGUUUGAUUACCCAUUUCCUGGAUCCAAUGUCUUUUUCUUUGUUGAUUCUCACACUUUGGUGGGGCACAUCUUCUAAUAUCUCAUACUUUCCUGAGAAAGUUAGCACAGGAAGUGUUUUGAGAUCUUAUGUGUCUAAAAAUGCUUUAUUCUACACACACACUAAAUUGUAAUUUGACUGUAUAAAGUUUGGAUUGAAAAACAUUUUACCUGCAUCAUUUCCAGGGUUGCUAUUGAGAAACACAAAGUCUUUCUGAUUCUUUAUACUUUUGUUGAAACUUGGUUACUCUCUUUUUUCUUUUUCUGAAAGCUUGUAGAAUUUUUUCUUAUUCCUAAUUGUGUAAAAUUCCACAGUACAUAUUCCUCUUUUCAUCUGUUGUCCUGGGAUCUCAGUGGGCCUUUCAGUCUGGAAAUUCUUUUCUUUCACUCUGGGAAAUCUCAAUGAGUUCUUGGCUGAUUUCUUCUUUUCCAUAUAUUGAGUAGAGAACAACGAAUGGUUUAUUCAAAAUACUUUUGUUCAGAUAUUAGACUUCCUGAAGGGUUCUGUUUUUGUUUUCAUAUCUUUUUUCCUUUGCCACUUUCCUAUCUCUUUGCCUUGGCUCUAUUUCUGAAAAAGUUCUACACUAUUAACUUCUUACCCUUGGGAUUUCAAUUUUGUCAUCAUACUUUUAAUUUCCAAGAACAUAGGGUGUUUUUUUUUUGUUUGUUUUUAAAUUCCUUUUUCUCUUUUCAUAAGCUCUGCCUUCUCCAGGUUGCUGUUUUCUGCUUAUUUGUUUUGGCCUCUCUCUUUCAUCUUAGAAGUUCUUCUUUAAUGCCCAUUCCUAGGCCCUUUGUGUAUAUUUGUGAGUGGGUUUGCUUCAAAGUCAAUGGCUGGGUGAUGAGGCCUGUCAAAUGUGGACCUAAUUAGAGUGAUCUGGCUGGAGCAUUUCUUUUGACAUAAGUAUAUUUAGGGUAUUUUUCACUAGGACCAGAAUUCUAUAGGGAAGAUGCCUCUAGUGUCCUGUCUAGAGGAAAAAAGUCUGGACAGUGUCUAGGAAAUGAGUGGAAAUAGGCCUGGGGUAGCAGAGAAGGUAGGGAAGGUCUCAAAAUCAGUCCGGAAACCUUCAUGCAUGCUCUGCUCAUGUUUUCAAUAUGUCAUCCCUACUCUUGGUCAGAAUAAAGCUUAACUGCCUCUCAAAUAGCCUUUCUGUCACCCCACAUUCACCCACUCCCAAGGGUACCUGGAGCUGGUUUGGAAUGUUUCUUUUUUUCCUCUUCAGAGUUGGGGAUUGAACCUAGGACCUCAUACAUGUUAGGCUAGUGCUCUCCCACUGAGCCACACCUUCUCUCUCUCUCUCUUAGGGUUUAUAAGUCAAUUAUCCAUCUGCUCAUCCAUCUGUUUUCCAGUUUCUCUUACCAUGUUGCUUCUGUCUUUGUCCUGUUCUCUUUAUGGUUUUUGUGGGAUUCACCAAGAUAACAAAGGCUGAGUGUCUUUAAGCUGCCAUCAUUAACUAGAACUCUAAAGUUUAUUUUAAAAAGGCAUUGUAGGGAAAGGAUCAGAAAUCAUCACUCCACUUCUACUCCCUUCAGCCCUUCUUUUCAAAACCCUUUACUUUUCUGUCCCAAUUUCACAGGUCUUUAUUAUCUUCUAGUUAAUCUGUGCAUCUUGACUGACUGGUACAAAUAAUACAUAACAAAUUACUGAUUGCUCCAAUGUGAAGAUUGCUCCAUGCAUUUGGUUACCUCCUCACAAGUUUCCUUUAAGAAAAGUAAACUGUACUAAAGUAAAUUGUACUACUCUUUUGAAAACUGUGCUACUGCAUAUAGUUAGUGUCAUGUGGGAAAAAAGAAUUGUCAUUCUUACGUGCUCAUUAUUUGUUAUUGACUAGUUGCCUUUUUAAAGGUGACAGGCAUCAUUUUUCUUUUCUUGGAAGAUGAUUUGUUAAGGUCAUUUUUAACUCAUCUGCUUUGCUAAGGAUUUUCAGGAAUGACAUUUAAGUCACUCAUAAUAAGCUUAGAAUUUGAGAGACAGACUGCUCGUGUCCAAAUUACAAUAGGAUAAGGAGGACUCUGGGCACCUGAGAAGAGGAAGCUGGAGUGCAUGUCCUGGAUGUUUUUUCACACCUCUGAAAUCAGACUGAGCAUGUGAGGUUUCAACAUUAAACAUUUAUCCACAGAGAAGACAGGUGGGCAUGCCCCAUAUAGGAAUGAGUAAUGAUGAAAUAAAUUGGGGAGAAAGGCUGUGGGACCAGGGAAAGUGGUUUUCCUCUAAAUGAUCUUUGCUUUUUCAUUCACAAAGUUAACACACAAUUCAGCUGUUUGGCUUUGAUAUGCUGAGGGCUUGAGACAUCAUGUCUUCUCUUGAUGUUUCUUCCAGCUAUCUUCUCUUAUGUUUCCCCAGUUCCUGGGUUUAUUUAUUUCUUUUUACUGCUAUUUAUAAUUCAGAGGUAGCCACACAUAGUCAGGACUUAAAGCUUGUUCAUAUGUUAACAAAGUUUUAGAGGAAACACUUUCUUAUUAUGUGUAGAGACAGAUGUGACUGGCUUUUUAUUUCAUAGGGUUUAUCUGUGUCAAGCAGGUUACACAAAGAAGUAUUUAUUACUCUAUGAGGUAACAACCAACUAAUUUUUAAUCUAAAAUAAUGAACACAUCUCACCUGGUUAAAUCAUCACAGAAUUUCCUUCUUAUGGAAAUAUGUAAUGAGGUGGAAUUCACCUGAAUUCCUCUUGAAGAGUGGGAGUAUGUGUCUGAAAAAAAGAUUUUGGGAAACCUGUUGAGGUCAGGAUAGGGGACUCCAAAUGACAGGCUCAGGAAUCAGAAGUGUUCCAUAUGCCUUCUAAGGAGACUGAAUCUCAUACUGAGAUGGUCAGGUCUACAAGCUUAGAGGGUUAGAGACACCAUGCACCUAAACUUUUCUUAGCAAUAGUGGGAGAAGAAUUUGACUUUAUUCACGUUUAGUUAUUAUUUUGGAUAUCUUUAUUGAACCUUCUCUGUUGAUCAGCUAUGUGACUCCAGCUGAUAUGUAGCUGGGGUACAUACUAUGUGCUGGGCCACUGGUGGUCUCCAUAAAUAGAUUAAGGAGAAUUUAAAACUCACUUGUGUUUUUAAAACAGUCCACUUUAAAUAAAUUGCUCUGGAUCACUUGAGGCUGGGUUCCUUGAGCCCUCCACUGGCCUUUCAUAUUAUUUACUUACCUUUUGCAGGGACACAAAGUGCUGUAAGAACUCAGAGGAUGGAGAGACCAUUCUAGCAUUGGACAGAAUUACCAGUGACUGCAGAAGGCUUUAUGAAGGCAAGACUUGACUGCCUGUACAGAUUGUCUGUACCUCACCUUGAUGUUGGGCUUCCAGAUCCUGCUGAUGUCCCUCAAUGUAUGAUACUGCAUCUAAAGGUGGUGGUGGCAAUAGCUGAGCUGCCAUGAGGUGACCAGUUUUCCUCAGCCAUGCCCUUCUGCCAUGAUGUUCUGCGGCAC